rnacentral:lncRNA from 1 species
UUGAAAACAUUCAAGUACAGAAUAAACUAUUACUACGAAUACGCUCAUAUGACACAAGAACAAUCUCUGAGCUUCUUUGAGGAUGUCCAGAUGACUGCUGACUGCACUAAUUGCAUCAAUCGUGUAUCCAUACAGGUUCUUUCUAUAAAAUAGUGGUCGCUAGUUGUGAGGCGUUAAGCCUUCAUGGAUAUAAACAGACUAUUCCACCUAAGUGAUCUGGCAGAAGCUUAGUUUUCUACCACAACAUCCACGGUCCUCCCUCCCUCCCUUCCUAGCUGGUCAGAAAAGCUACUCAGAAUAAAGACUACAUUUCCCAGCCAUCUUUGCAGCUAGGUUUAUCCACCUGACUAAAUUCCACCGGCCUGCCACAAGAAUACGAAGGCCAGAGCUCCAGCAGCUGUUGGAGCCACGAUGUGACCCUGAAGGCAGGAAACUCAGCUUUGGAAGGCAGGACCUUGCUCUGUCACCCAGGCUGUAGUGCAGUGGUGUGAUCUCAGCUUACUGCAGCCUCAACCUCCUGGGCUCAAGUGAUCCUACCACAGCUUCCUGAGUAGCUGGGACUACAGUAACUCCAGGUUGAAGAACUUCUACUUAUAGGCAUCUAUUCAACAAAGACGAAUCCUGGAAUGGGGAUGGAAAUGAUGGCUCAUGUCUUAGCAAACUACCAGUACGUCUACUAGAACCGGAACUGAUCCGAGAGGACAGGGAAGUCAGUGUGGGCGGCUCUAAGGAGCCUCCCUCUCUACAGCUGCGGCUCAGAGGAUUACGGCGCUUCAUCCACAAGGCAACAUUGCACAAGUAGCUUUUGAACAAAAGUCAUGGAUACUAUUAAUGAUAUGGUAAUCCUUAAUCGAGCUACCUCCCAGUAGUGAUUAUACUGACAUGGGAAGAAUAUCUAAGUCGUGGAGGCAGCCCACAACAACACUGUGUCAUUGUUCACCCCGGGCUCGACCAGGACUAACUUUUACCAGCAUCUCUAACGUCACCUUUCCCCUGAUGCCUCCCCACAACCCCUGGCCCCAGCUCCCAUUCCCGCCCCAUCAUAGCAAAAAAGUAGCAAAGAAAACCCUGAUCCUAAAUCUUUUUCUGGAUUUUUUUUUGCAAGUUCCCACACACAUUUAGUGUCGUCUCAAAAUUCACGCUGUCAACUGUCUCUAGGAAUCAUUUCCAUCUGAGAACAGACCACACAAAG